rnacentral:rRNA from 1 species
GAGGAAUAUUGGUCAAUGGGCGAGAGCCUGAACCAGCCAAGUAGCGUGCAGGAUGACGGCCCUAUGGGUUGUAAACUGCUUUUAUGUGGGGAUAAAGUGCGUGACGUGUCAUGCAUUGCAGGUACCACAUGAAUAAGGACCGGCUAAUUCCGUGCCAGCAGCCGCGGUAAUACGGAAGGUCCGGGCGUUAUCCGGAUUUAUUGGGUUUAAAGGGAGCGUAGGCUGUCUAUUAAGCGUGUUGUGAAAUUUACCGGCUCAACCGGUGGCUUGCAGCGCGAACUGGUCGACUUGAGUAUGCAGGAAGUAGGCGGAAUUCAUGGUGUAGCGGUGAAAUGCUUAGAUAUCAUGACGAACUCCGAUUGCGCAGGCAGCUUACUGUAGCAUAACUGACGCUGAUGCUCGAAAGUGCGGGUAUCAAACAGGAUUAGAUACCCUGGUAGUCCGCACGGUAAACGAUGGAUGCUCGCUAUUCGUCCUAUUUGGAUGAGUGGCCAAGUGAAAACACUAAGCAUCCCACCUGGGGAGUACGCCGGCAACGGUG